rnacentral:snRNA from 1 species
GUGCUCGCUUCCGCAGCACAUAUACUAAAAUUGGAAUGAUACAGAAAAGAUUAGCAUGGCCCC